GUGAGACAGGUGCUGCAUGGCUGUCGUCAGCUCGUGUUGUGAAAUGUUGGGUUAAGUCCCGCAACGAGCGCAACCCUUAUCCUUUGUUGCCAGCGAUUAGGUCGGGAACUCAAAGGAGACUGCCAGUGAUAAACUGGAGGAAGGUGGGGAUGACGUCAAGUCAUCAUGGCCCUUACGACCAGGGCUACACACGUGCUACAAUGGCGCAUACAAAGAGAAGCGACCUCGCGAGAGCAAGCGGACCUCAUAAAGUGCGUCGUAGUCCGGAUUGGAGUCUGCAACUCGACUCCAUGAAGUCGGAAUCGCUAGUAAUCGUGGAUCAGAAUGCCACGGUGAAUACGUUCCCGGGCCUUGUACACACCGCCCGUCACACCAUGGGAGUGGGUUGCAAAAGAAGUAGGUAGCUUAACCUUCGGGAGGGCGCUUACCACUUUGUGAUUCAUGACUGGGGUGAAGUCGUAACAAGGUAACCGUAGGGGAACCUGCGGUUGGAUCACCUCCUUACCUUAAAGAAGC
rnacentral:rRNA from 9 species